ACACACGGCGGGUGCUAACGUCCGUCGUGAAGAGGGAAACAACCCAGACCGCCAGCUAAGGUCCCAAAGUCAUGGUUAAGUGGGAAACGAUGUGGGAAGGCCCAGACAGCCAGGAUGUUGGCUUAGAAGCAGCCAUCAUUUAAAGAAAGCGUAAUAGCUCACUGGUCGAGUCGGCCUGCGCGGAAGAUGUAACGGGGCUAAACCAUGCACCGAAGCUGCGGCAGCGACACUAUGUGUUGUUGGGUAGGGGAGCGUUCUGUAAGCCUGUGAAGGUGUGCUGUGAGGUAUGCUGGAGGUAUCAGAAGUGCGAAUGCUGACAUAAGUAACGAUAAAGCGGGUGAAAAGCCCGCUCGCCGGAAGACCAAGGGUUCCUGUCCAACGUUAAUCGGGGCAGGGUGAGUCGACCCCUAAGGCGAGGCCGAAAGGCGUAGUCGAUGGGAAACAGGUUAAUAUUCCUGUACUUGGUGUUACUGCGAAGGGGGGA
rnacentral:rRNA from 1 species